CCCCCUGAACCUGUGAGGCGAGAGAGGAUAAGGCCGCCGCCCGCCAGCGGUUUUGGCGUCCAAGCUGUGUGUGGGCCCUCCGCGCCGCGCCGCUGAUUGAUGACGGCGACGUCGCCGGGUGGCUCUCCGCCGCUCCACCGUCCACAGAUUCGUAGCAGCGGCGGGUACGGGUUGGGGCGGGAUCGGUUGCCGUCAGCCCGUGUCGUGCCGCUGGAACGAACGCCGGCCUUGAUGUGAUCUCGUAGUUGAUCGGUCGGUGGCAGGCCGGCCGGCCGGCCGGCAGUGGGUCGUUGCUUUCGCCGGCAGUCGGAGUUGAUCGUCCAACCACUCUUUCUCCUUCUCGGACAGAUUCUACUCUCGCAACAAGCCAGGAGAUGGAGCAACACCCUCAACUGACGCUCCAAGACAAUGACAAAGAUGUGUAGCGGCGUCCGAACGCUGCCGGCGAUGGCCGUCGUCUUCCACACACCGACUGAUUUUCCAAUACCAAGACGACGUACGUACGUGCCGCUCCAUCGUUUUUCAAGAUAAGAACGCUUCAAAAAAUAGAGAUUGUAUGUUUGCUCUUGACGACCCCCUGUAAAUAUCACUUUUGUCCUUUAGCUUUUGAGUAAUCUUCUGCUAAUAUGCAUCUCCUCAUGCUCAAAGUACAUAUGUAAUACAUCAUUUUCAAACACUCCUCGCGCACAAAAUCAGCGUAACAUAUCUGAUCCAAGUUCUAGCAAAUUAUCCGUGAACAUAUCUCGCCCA